AAUUAUUUAUCAGAUUUCAGGCCAUUGCAAAACUAACGGUAGAGCCAGUACAUGGCGAUUGAAUAAAACCAUCUCGAGGGUUGGUCCCCAUAACGAGAGGCUCAUCAAUAUCCAUCCAAUGAAUGACAGGAAUUAUGAGGGAGACAUACUAGCACUAAUGAGUGGCUACAGUGAGGCAUUAUAGAGGAAUCAAGAUGGACAUGGGAACACUCUAGAGAGAGAUCCUGAGAAGCUUCCAGAGAAGGAGUACUUUGACUUCUCUAUAAAGAGCAGGUCCAUUCGUUGCAGGUAUGUGUACAUGAGUAGCUGACGCUGGUUGAAUGAGAGAGCAGGGUGAUUCACAGCCAUCACGUAGAGGAG